UACGUAGGGGGCAAGCGUUGUCCGGAAUCAUUGGGCGUAAAGCGCGUGUAGGCGGCCCGGUAAGUCCGUUGUGAAAGUCAAAGGCUCAACCUUUGAACGCCGAUGGAUACUGCCGGGCUAGAGUCCGGAAGAGGCGAGUGGAAUUCCUGGUGUAGCGGUGGAAUGCGCAGAUAUCAGGAGGAACACCAAUAGCGAAGGCAGCUCGCUGGGACGGUAC
rnacentral:rRNA from 1 species